rnacentral:lncRNA from 1 species
AUGUACAUGUGUGUCAAGAGGACGGCCACAUUCAUCGACUGGGGCCCCUGGCUUCAGUACCGGAGAGCAGCAGGGUGGGACGAGGGGCUGGAGGCAGCCGGGGUGAGGGGGGGGCUCAGGCUCCGUCCUGCUCCCGGCAGAGCCCAGGGACGCUGCCGGCCCGUGGCUGUGGGGCAGCUGCAGCCCCUUCCCUCCCCAUGCUGCCACAUCCCUGCCCAGGACCCUCAUCCCAUAAGUCAACCAGGACCCCAUCCAGCAGCCCGCGGAGAGGGGCCACGUGCCCACCGUGUCCUCCGGCCACCACGGUGCCACAGCCGGGCCAAGCCAGUCCUGGUAUUGGGGAGGGUUGGGUUUCGGGUGGGCUCCCGCAGGUGGGCGAGAGCAGAGGAAGACGACGGGGGCUGCCGCGAAGGCAGGCGAGCCGGACCCCGGGAUGCAGGAAGACGUGGCAGUGCCCGCAGGGACCCAAAGCCGUUGGGGCUCGUGGCGAGGAGCCGACCCGACUAUCGCUGCGGCGGAGCUGGGGGGUGCCCCGGGGGGGCUCACAGGAUCCUGACGAGGCGGCCCAGGGUCUCCGCCACCUUCACGCGGACGGCAGGGACGGGGUCCUUCAGGAGCAGGUUCAGAGCUGGAAGGAGCAGAGCACAGACAUGCCAGGGGGGCUGCGGGACCACGGCCACCCACCACCCCCAGCCGCGUCCUGGCUUUGCUCCAUCGCACAAGGAAGGAGAAACUCCAGUCCCAGGGAUGCCGGGCCCCCCCGCCAGCCCCGUCACACGCCCCAGGGGGGGAACGGGCGCCCUAAAUCCUCUUCGGCCCCCCCCCCCAGGAGCCCCCCGGCUCCGCAGAGCCCAGGGGACCCGCGCCACGGCAGCGGGACGGUGCUGCGGAGGCCGCUGGCUCUGCCUGGUCCCGGGGCGGUGGGGGACCGGGGAGGGGUCUUUGGGGCGCGGGGCUCGAGCCGGUGGGGCUGCUCCUGCACCGACCUGGGGAGGAGAAGGGCCCCCAGCACGGGGGUCCGGGGCCGGGGAGGGGAACGGAGCCGGGAGCGGAGCCCCCGGGGGCCCGCGGGGCUGUGCAGACGCUCGCCGGGCCAAGCCUCCCCUAUCAGCACGAUUUCCUAAUGCCUGGAACGGCUCCCGGUAG